GAGCUACCUGGAAGGGAAAGUACAUUAUUACCCAAUAAUUAUGGAUUGCAGGUGCCCAUUAGGUUGAAGAAAAAGUUCAAAACACUGAGAUCCAGGGUAUCGAGUACAGCAAAUCCGUGUGUGUAUUGGAAUAGGAGAUUUACCACCAGAACUGAGGAAAUAGGACAGAUGGAAAAGCAAGGGGAAGGAAGUGGUUUUGAAGCGCCAUCAAGAGAAGGAAGAGUUCAGAUUCUGCUGCAGAGCCCAGCUGUGAACGAGUCAGGAGCUCCCACCUCUACCCGAAAACCGGAGGAGAGGGAAGUAGGCUAGAACCCAACACAGUGCUUCCAGAAAGCACUUCAGAAGGCAAAGGAGCAAGCUGAGGAAAGAUGUCUCUGCUGUCUCACUGAGCUCCCUGCGGGGAAACCGACUCUCAGGUGAGUGUUUCUCUGACUGCGUUUCCUGGCAUAGCAACACCACUUCAUGCGAGUUCACCCGGGAGUGACCAGCCCCUGGCGUUUCCACCAGGAGGACUUAUAGAGUGUUAUCACAGCUCCCCUCACCUCACAGGCUGUGAAAGGAGGUUCACAUUUUCAGCCCCGCUUCUCCUUCCAUCUACGAACAAGCAGAGAGUGGAAAUCUGUCACUGGGAGUAGACCUUGGGAUGGGGCCUGAAUGUACUCAUGGGAGAGCUCAACCAGAAUUAGUCCAAAUAAAAAGUCAGACUGUCAGUGCUUCCCACCACCCUGCCCAGGGUCAUCUGCCCUCUGCGGUGGGCAGAGCUUCUCCCAGCCUGCUGCUUGAACAGCUGCUAAGGGGCUGGUCUCCCUCACCUACCCCUGCAGGAGACCAUUAGCAAGCUGCUGGGAGCUGGGGCUCCGGUUGCUGAGAACAGGCUGGGCUCAGAGCUGCCAGCCAGCCCAUCGAUCAUGGAUUUCACCGGGAUGCUUUCUGACCUUUCAAGGUUAGUGAAGACUCAGCAGUCACAUACCGUUCUGUGAUUAAAUGUCUCAAUCCUGAGCACGGUCUAUUAUUUUGCAAUUCAGAGAAGAAAAGGGACAGUACUUAGUAGCAAGGUGGUUUUUAGUGACAGCAACACAAUGACACGGUUUAAAAGGUUUUAAAGAAACAAAGAUGGUUACAACUCUCACAAGUUCUAUUUUUUGCAUAUUGUUUUGUUUUUUUAUAUUUGUGUAGCUAUGCUGAUAUUUUCUGCACUUAAUAGCACAUAUUUUUUGUUCAAGUAUAGUUGACACACAACGUUACGUUAGUUUCAGGUAUACAACGUGGUGAUUUGACAUCUCUAUGUGUUAUUCAGGCUCAUCACAAGGGUAACUACCAUCUGUCACCAUGCAACACCAUUACUACGUCAUUGACUAAAUUCCCUAUGCUGUACCUUUCACCCAUGUGACUUAUUCACUCCGUAACUGGAAACUUGUAUCUCCCACUCCCCUUCACCCGUUUUGCCCAUCCUCCUCA